rnacentral:rRNA from 1 species
UACAGAGACUGCAAGCGUUGUUCGGAUUCAUUGGGCGUAAAGGGUGCGCAGGCGGUCCGGUAAGUCGGGUGUGAAAGCUCGAGGCCUAACCUCGAAUGGUCAUUCGAAACUACCGGGCUAGAGGAUUGGAGAGGAGACUGGAAUAGUUGGUGUAGCAGUGAAAUGCGUAGAGAUCAACUAGAACACCGGUGGCGAAGGCGAGUCUCUGGACAAUUCCUGACGCUCAGGCACGAAAGCCAGGGGAGCAAACGGG